rnacentral:misc_RNA from 1 species
AAGUCGUAACAAGGUUUCCGUAGGUGAACCUGCGGAAGGAUCAUUACUGAGUAUUUGUCUUUUAUAGACAUCUCUCUAUCCAUAAACUCUUUUUUAAAAAGACAUGAUUUACAUAAUUAGUCUGAAUGUUUAUUUAAAAUCUUCAAAA